CCCAUUGCAGAAACAAAACCUCCCUCGCUAUAUAUACAAAUUCACACUCAAUUUUCUCUUCGCUUGUCACCGGCGACAUUAAACAAAGGGAGCCAAAAUCUCCCUAGCAAAAUCGAAUAUGAUUAUUCCAGUCCGUUGCUUCAGGGAAGGUUAUCGGAAAUAAAUGGGACAUGUACCUCGAUUUGCUUCAGGCUGACUACAGUGAAGGAGAUGCCCUUGAUUCCCUGCUGUUGGUUCGCUACUGCUGCAGAAAGAUGUUGAUGACCCACGUCGAUCUGAUUGAGAAGCUCCUGAACUAUAACAGUCUGCUACCUCUUAUGAAAGAACUGUGUUAUGUAUAUAUAUGAACUUCGCCAUGCCAUUGCUAUUGUGGUUGAUUCAGCCAUUGCUAUUGUGGUUGAUGCACAAUGAUGUGCUACUCUCUGAAUGAUGCUAACUAUUCAAACUAACCCGGUUUUCUUUAAUUGGCAGCUCUAGAGAAAUCCGAAGGCAGUUGAAGCAACAUCCGAGUUCUUAUGUGGGAGAUGUAUAUGCUUUUUUUUCUGAACCAUGUAGUACUUGACUCGAUGAAAAUACUUUUAUGUGAAUAUAUCGUUGUAUUAGGCUAUUAGCUACUGAGUGAACCGACCAAACUUGAUCUAUGCUAUUUUGCGAACGCAUUGCUUUUUUGUAUUGUGGGAUGUUAAGCAUAGUCUUAUUUGUAUUUGUAUUGCUAUUUGAUAUAUUUUGUAUUGCUACAUUUCUUAUA